GACGGAGGGUGCUAGCGUUGUUCGGAAUUACUGGGCGUAAAGGGCGCGUAGGCGGCCUGGUCAGUCGGGUGUGAAAGCCCGGGGCUCAACCCCGGAACGGCACCCGAGACGGCCAGGCUGGAGACCGGGAGAGGAGGGUGGAAUAGCCAGUGUAGAGGUGAAAUUCGUAGAUAUUGGCUGGAACACCCGUGGCGAAGGCGGCUCUCUGGGACGGUACUGACGCUGAGACGCGAAAGCGUGGGGAGCAAACAGGG
rnacentral:rRNA from 1 species